rnacentral:lncRNA from 1 species
UAUAUUGUUACUAAUUAUUAUUAAAUUACGAUUUUAUUAAAAAAGAACAAGUAAAAACCUAGAAAAUCAUUGAAAGUACAAACAAGCAGACCAAGGACUGAGCAUCAUUAAAAUAUAUUUAAGGAAAGUCCAAUGAAAAAACUUUAAGGAAAAAAAUAUUAUUAUCUAUUACAAAAAAUCUCGAAGAAAAAAAUAAAAACAAACCACAAUCUGCGGCUCAUAAGAAAG